CCCUAUGGGGUGCAGCAGGCGAGAAAACUUUGCAAUGUGCGAAAGCACGACAAGGUUAAUCCGAGUGGCCUCUGCUGAAGAGGUCUUUUGACAGUCCUAGAAACACUGUCGAAUAAGGGGUGGGCAAGUUCUGGUGUCAGCCGCCGCGGUAAAACCAGCACCUCAAGUGGUCAGGAUGAUUAUUGGGCCUAAAGCAUCCGUAGCCGGAUCUAUAAGUUUUCGGUUAAAUCUAUGCGCUCAACGUAUAGGCUGCCGGAAAUACUGUGGAUCUAGGGAGUGGGAGAGGUAGACGGUACUCGGUAGGAAGAGGUAAAAUUCACUAAUCUAUCGAUGACCACCUGUGGCGAAGGCGGUCUACCAGAACACGUCCGACGGUGAGGGAUGAAAGCUGGGGGAGCAAACCGGAUUAGAUACCCGGGUAGUCCCAGCUGUAAACAAUGCAAACUCAAUGAUGCAUCGGGUUGAACCCGGUGCAGUGUUGCAGGGAAGCCGUUAAGUUUGCCGCCUGGGAAGUACGUACGCAAGUAUGAAACUUAAAGGAAUUGGCGGGGGAGCACCACAAGGGGUGAAGCCUGCGGUUCAAUUGGAGCCAACGCCAGAAAUCUUACCCGGGGAGACAGCAGAAUGAAGGUCAAGCUGGAGACUUUACCAGACAAGCUGAGAAGAAGUGCAUGGCC
rnacentral:rRNA from 1 species